rnacentral:rRNA from 1 species
UACCGAGGUCUCAAGCGUUGUUCGGAUUCAUUGGGCGUAAAGGGUGCGUAGGCGGCGCGGUAAGUCGGGGGUGAAAUCUCGGAGCUUAACUCCGAAACUGCAUUCGAUACUGCCGUGCUUGAGGACUGGAGAGGAGACUGGAAUUUACGGUGUAGCGGUGAAAUGCGUAGAUAUCGGAAGGAAGACCAGUGGCGAAGGCGGGGCUCUGGACAGUUCCUGACGCUGAGGCACGAAGGCCAGGGGAGCAAACAGG